UACGUAGGGUGCAGGCGUUAAUCGGAAUUACUGGGCGUAAAGCGUGCGCAGGCGGUUUGCUAAGACAGGUGUGAAAUCCCCGGGCUUAACCCGUGGGAACUGCAUUGGUGACUGGCAGGCUUUGAGUGUGGCAGAGGGAGGUAGAAUUCCACGUGUAGCAGUGAAAUGCGUAGAGAUGUGGAGGAAUACCGAUGGCGAAGGCAGCCUCCUGGGCCAACACUGACGCUCAUGCACGAAAGCGUGGGAGC
rnacentral:rRNA from 1 species